UACAGAGGGUGCGAGCGUUGUCCGGAAUCACUGGGCGUAAAGGGCGCGUAGGUGGCGACCCAAGUCUGUGGUGAAAGCUCGACGCUCAACGUCGAGUCGGCCAUAGAUACUGGGUUGCUUGAGCACUGUAGAGGCAGAUGGAAUUCCGGGUGUAGCGGUGGAAUGCGUAGAGAUCCGGAAGAACACCGGUGGCGAAGGCGGGUCUCUGGGCAGUAACUGACGCUGAGGAGCGAAAGCGUGGGGAGCGAACAGG
rnacentral:rRNA from 1 species